UGGGGAAUCUUGCGCAAUGAGGGAAACCCUGACGCAGCGACGCCGCGUGCGGGAUGAAGGCCUUCGGGUUGUAAACCGCUUUCAGCAGGGACGAGGCCUUAUGGUGACGGUACCUGCAGAAGAAGCUCCGGCUAAAUACGUGCCAGCAGCCGCGGUAAUACGUAUGGAGCAAGCGUUAUCCGGAUUCAUUGGGCGUAAAGCGCUCGUAGGCGGUCUGUUAGGUCGGCAAGUUAAAUCCGGGGGCUCAACCCCCGGCCGCUUCCGAUACCGGCAGACUUGAGUUUGGUAGGGGAAGGUGGAAUUCCUAGUGUAGCGGUGGAAUGCGCAGAUAUUAGGAAGAACACCGGUGGCGAAGGCGGCCUUCUGGGCCAUAACUGACGCUGAGGAGCGAAAGCUAGGGGAGCGAACAGG
rnacentral:rRNA from 1 species